CCUGUUAUUUUAAUGCAUAUCCUGUGUAGUGAACUCGUGGAGGAAGGAGACAGCCAAAGGGAUUGAGUCGCGGUCUGGUGUUUGGACAGUGAUUAACGUUUUCUGUGUCUGUCUCCGCCAAGCCACUAACCCAUCCUAUCUACCUCGAGAGCGGAUAACUACUACUAACACUUGGUGCAUAUGACAGCGUGUUAGUGUAAUGUUUUAGCACAGAGUUCGGCGUGUUACUAUAAUGUUUUAGCAUAGUGUUAAUGUAAUGUUUCAGCACAGGGUUACUGUAUUGCUUCAGCACAGAGUUCAGCGUGUUACUGUAAUGUUUUAGCACAGUAGUUCGGUGUGUAGUGUAAUGAUUUAGCACAGCGUUAGUGUAAUGUUUUAGCACAGCGUUCAGAGUGUUAGUGUAAUGUUUUAGCACAGUGUUACUGUAAUGUUUAGCACAGUGUUAUUGUAAUGUUUUAGCACAGCGUUCGUGUAAUGUUUUAGCACAGCGUUAGUGUAAUGUUUUAGCAUUGCGUUAGUGUAAUGUUUUAGCACAGCAUUCAGAGUGUUACUGUAAUGUUUUAGCACAG
ensembl:lncRNA